rnacentral:rRNA from 1 species
AGAGUUUGAUCAUGGCUCAGAACGAACGCUGGCGGCAGGCCUAACACAUGCAAGUCGAGCGCAUAGCAAUAUGAGCGGCGGACGGGUUAGUAACGCGUGGGAACGUACCCUUUUCUUCGGAAUAGCUUUGGGAAACUGAAGGUAAUACCGGAUACGCCCUUUUGGGGAAAGAUUUAUCGGAGAAGGAUCGGCCCGCGUCUGAUUAGAUAGUUGGUGGGGUAAUGGCCUACCAAGUCUACGAUCAGUAGCUGGUUUGAGAGGAUGAUCAGCAACACUGGGACUGAGACACGGCCCAGACUCCUACGGGAGGCAGCAGUGGGGAAUCUUAGACAAUGGGCGCAAGCCUGAUCUAGCCAUGCCGCGUGAGUGAUGAAGGCCUUAGGGUCGUAAAGCUCUUUCGCUGGGGAAGAUAAUGACGGUACCCAGUAAAGAUCCCCAGGAUUUCGUU